UCUGAUUUGACCGAGUGGUUAAGGUGGCAGACUUAAGCCAUUAAACAUGCGCAUUCUGCUGGGGCAACCCGCGCAAGUUCGAACCUUGCAAUCAGAA